rnacentral:rRNA from 1 species
AUGGCUGCUCUCUCUCUCUCUCUCUCUCUCUCUCUCUCUCUCUCUCUCUCUCUCUCUCUGUGUGUGUGUGUGUGUGUGUGUGUGUGUGUGUGUGAAAACCCCUACCAAGUAUCGUGCACGACUCGCCCACGGCCGUAUAUGCGUAUAAAAAGGACCUCCUCCCGAAUCCCAGCAACCCACACGGACUCACUGAUAUCCCCCACAAAAAUUAUCGCGUUCCAAACACAGGGUCAUAUAAGUCUCAAAGUUAGUACUGGUAGUUCAACAACAUGGACAAUGGAACCAAAUAAAGACACUUGUCCUUGA